rnacentral:pre_miRNA from 1 species
CUGGUUGCGCUGGUGAAAAGGAACCACAUCAACCCAGCAAAAGGAUUUGGUCCCCUUCAACCAGCCGCAACUGGC